CACUGUUUCGGCUAGGGGGCCAUCCCGGCUUACCAACCCGAUGCAAACUCCGAAUACUGACAAGUAUAGCAUGGGAGACACACGGCGGGUGCUAACGUUCGUCGUGAAGAGGGAAACAACCCAGACCGCCAGCUAAGGUCCCAAAGUCAUAGUUAAGUGGGAAACGAAGUGGGAAGGCUUAGACAGCUAGGAUGUUGGCUUAGAAGCAGCCAUCAUUUAAAGAAAGCGUAAUAGCUCACUAGUCGAGUCGGCCUGCGCGGAAGAUGUAACGGGGCUAAAACUAUGCACCGAAGCUGCGGCAGUGUGUGAAUAACAUAUUGGGUAGGGGAGCGUUCUGUAAGCCGUAGAAGGUAUCUUGUGAGGGGUGCUGGAGGUAUCAGAAGUGCGAAUGCUGACAUAAGUAACGAUAAAGCGGGUGAAAAGCCCGCUCGCCGGAAGACCAAGGGUUCCUGUCCAACGUUAAUCGGGGCAGGGUGAGUCGACCCCUAAGGAGAGGCCGAAAGGCGUAUCUAAUGGGAAACGGGUUAAUAUUCCCGUACUGAAUAUAACUGCGAUGGGGGGACGAAGAAGGCUAGGUUUACCACCUAUUGGAUGGUGGGUUAAGCGUGUAGGGGUGUGACUUGGAAAAUCCGGUCACUGUAACUCUGAGGCGUGAUGACGAGGCACUAAGGUGCUGAAGUAAUUGAUGCCCUGCUUCCAGGAAAAGCCUCUAAGCUCUAGGUUAUAUUGAAUCGUACCCGAAACCGACACAGGUGGUCAGGUAGAGAAUACUCAGGCGCUUGAGAGAACUCGGGUGAAGGAACUAGGCAAAAUGGUGCCGUAACUUCGGGAGAAGGCACGCUGAUAUUAGUUGAAGUCCGUAGCGGAUGGAGGUGAAAUCAGUCGAAGAUACCAGCUGGCUGCAACUGUUUAAUAAAAACACAGCACUGUGCAAACACGAAAGUGGACGUAUACGGUGUGAAG
rnacentral:rRNA from 1 species